UGGGCUGAUGUGCAGUGGUGCUGAGAACCUGCAGUUCCCAUUAACUUUAGUGAAAUCUGGAGAUGCUCAGCACUUCUGAACAACAGAUCAC
rnacentral:ncRNA from 2 species